rnacentral:rRNA from 1 species
GACAGAGGGUGCAAACGUUGUUCGGAAUUACUGGGCGUAAAGCGCGUGUAGGCUGCUUCGCAAGUCAGGUGUGAAAGCCCUGGGCUCAACCUAGGAAGUGCACUCGAAACUGCGAAGCUUGAGUCCUGGAGAGGAAGGCGGAAUUCUCGGUGUAGAGGUGAAAUUCGUAGAUAUCGAGAGGAACACCGAUGGCGAAGGCAGCCCCCUGGGCUAACACUGACGCUCAUGCACGAAAGCGUGGGGAGCAAACAGG